ensembl:lncRNA
UCUAUAACCUUCUAGAGACAACUUGAUUACUGGGAGUUCUGUUCUGGAACUUCAGAGUCAAUACUCGGCACUCCUGCAUCACUUUGUUAUGUGGUAAACUUUAAAAGCUGCCUGGAGGAAUGUGGGACAUUCCCAUUAACAAAGCAGCCUGCCCCUAAUUUGAGUCUUAUGGUUGAUUGGAUUUGUCAUAACAUUCUGGUCUGAGUUUCGGACGGCAUUAUAAAUAAUAACAGAACAGGACCCUUAGUUUUAGGAGUUCCUGCCCGCGAUGGUUUAGGUGUUGGAAGUCUGAAUCUUUGUUACUUAAUUUUUUCAGGGGGUUGAUGCUUGAUGGGUCACUGGUAUUUGAGAUGUUUGUGGAAUGUGCCAGCGCGGUGUUUGGUCAUGCUGUGUACGUGGUCAUGCUAAGAGUGGUCAGAGGGGAGAGAAUGGGUAAUGCCUUGCCACGUUAUUGUGUCAUGACAGACACAACCUUCAAACAUUUUGAACUGUCAUUUUUAAAUUAUAAUUGUGAUAAGACUAUAUCCACAUGUUGUGGGUCAAAAACGUUUUAGAAUAUCUUAUUACGUUUUCACUAGUAUAGCUGUAAGGGUAAUAAGCAAGUCAUUUAUAAUGCAUUGUCUAUGUUUAGUGUUUUUCCUGAACAGGGCCAAUAUUACUGAUUGGGUGAGGGUCACUUAAGAUCAUGAAUGUGGGUCUCUUCCUGGCGUUUUACAGAGCAUCAGUUGAAUGAUUGUGUACUUCACUUGUUUUAGACCUGCUACAAUAAAAACCAGCCAUGCUUCGCAUCGAGUGUUAAUGGUGAUGAUGAUGCGGGCUCCCGAUGCAUAUCAGUGCAAGAGGCGUUACUACAGUCCCUGGUUCGAAUCCAGGCUGCAUUAUAUCCGGCCGUGAUUGGGAGUCACAUAGUGCAGCACACAAUUGGCCCGGCGUCGUCCGGUUUGGCCCGUGGCCGUCAUUGUAAAUUAGAACAAAUUCUUAACUGGCUUGCCUAGUUAAAUUAA